CAAGCGGAGGAGCAGCAGGGUGAAACUGACACAGUUCUGGUGAGUUUCACUUUGCUGCUCCUCCUGA
rnacentral:miRNA from 10 species